AUGAACGCUGGCGGCGUGCUUAACACAUGCAAGUCGAACGAAGCACCUUCAAUCGAAGAUUUGGUAGCUUGCUACCGAAUGAUUCACCCGAAGGUGACUGAGUGGCGGACGGGUGAGUAACGCGUGGGUAACCUACCCUCACAGGGGGAUAACAGUCGGAAACGACUGCUAAUACCGCAUAAGCGCACAGUAUCGCAUGGUACAGUGUGAAAAACUCCGGUGGUGAAGGAUGGACCCGCGUCUGAUUAGCUAGUUGGUGAGGUAACGGCUCACCAAGGCGACGAUCAGUAGCCGAUCUGAGAGGGUGACCGGCCACAUUGGGACUGAGACACGGCCCAAACUCCUACGGGAGGCAGCAGUGGGGAAUAUUGCACAAUGGGCGAAAGCCUGAUGCAAGCGACGCCGCGUGAGUGAUGAAGUAUUUCGGUAUGUAAAGCUCUAUCAGCAGGGAAGAAAAAUGACGGUACCUGACUAAGAAGCUCCGGCUAAAUACGUGCCAGCCGCGGC
rnacentral:rRNA from 1 species